AGCAGUAGCCGCGGUAAUACGUAGGGGGCAAGCGUUAUCCGGAAUAACUGGGCGUAAAGGGUGCGCAGGUGGUUUAACAAGUUAGUGGUGAAAGGCAUAGGCUCAACCAAUGUAAGCCAUUAAAACUGUUUAACUUGAGUGCAGGAGAGGAAAGUGGAAUUCCUAGUGUAGCGGUGAAAUGCGUAGAUAUUAGGAGGAAUACCAGUGGCGAAGGCGACUUUCUGGACUGCAACUGACACUGAGGCACGAAAGCGUGGGGAGUAAACAGGAUUAGAUACCCCGGUAGUCCCUGUCUCUUAUACA
rnacentral:rRNA from 1 species